GACAAUAGAGUGUGCCAAUUCAAUAGCACAAUUGUUAUUGAGCGGCCAGGGCGGGGUUUAAAUGUAUGAUUGCGGUUCUAACAGUCCAGUAAGCUGGGAGACACGAGGUGCUAGGGUGGGUGGAAAAAAGUGACUGUCAGGUGUUUAAGCCAAUAGCAGGAGAAAACCUGUGUAAUUUGAUUUGGUCCUGGAGCAACAAACCAUAGCUCCCAGUUUGGAACCACUGCCCUAUACGAAGAUUUUGAGAAAACUUUCCUGCACACAUUAUACUCUGAAUGAUUAGCAUGAUGUCAAAACAACAUCCAGAAAGCUACAUUUAAAAAAUCCACUCAUUUAGGGAGAAUGGGGCCAGCCAAUGAAAUCACAGAGGUGUUUCUAUGAGAGCCAAUCUGCGUGGUUGAAUCCUCUGCAGCAUUUCCUUGUCACACACUGAGGGAGUGGUGGAUACACAGGGAAAAGAGAAGCUGAUGCGAGCAGAGGCUGCCCUAAACAUACUGCGACAUUGAAGAGAGGAGAACAUUCUCUCCAGCUUUUAUCUCAGGUCUCUGCAAGGUCUACAGCUAUAAUUAUUUAGUAUAUGGCUUUAAAGGAACAACCAUACUGAAGCUGGAAAGAAACCCCCCUCAUGCCAGUGGUGAUGAAUCGGUUGUGGAUCGUGUCCUGAAUGGACUAUGGGGAACAACACCAUCAACAAGUUUCACCCAGUUUGGGCUCUACAUUUGUAUACCAAAGGGUAUACGUGCCUGUAUCCUGCUGAUCGAGAUGUACCAGGAUGAUCUGCGUUCAACCUCAAGCACUAAAUGCCUACUUCAGAGAUGGAAGCAAUGCUGAUAUUUACGCAGUUGCCAGCCCACCAAAAUGAUGGAACAACAUAACAGUGAUGUCAGUGCCAGUGGCUGUGCACGCCUGAACAGAGCAACACUUGAAUUGCGCCAUCUAGUGGCCACCGGCGCACAGCACACUUGAAUCCCCCUGAAAGAGAAGUGGAUGCCGGCUGUCUACAAUGGCUGCUCUCCGUCUGUUUUAUUACAUCUGUCCACUUCUUGACUCCGUGAUACAAUAUCAUUCAGAUAACUAUCAUCUCAAGACAUCUUCAUGUUGCCAUAGAUGUUCCAUGUUCUGUUGCAAGAAACAAGCUGUGGAGCAUUCUUCUUACAUGGUCUUCUUCAACCUUGUUAGUGAGCCAUGGCACCCGCACAGCAAAUAGAUCAGAAGGUAACAAGAGGGUGACUGACAUUGUGUACGGAGCAGGAGCGUGUGACUGGCCAGUAGAAAUGUGCCCACCUGCUCUGACGGAGUCAUAAAAGGACACACCUGCUUGACACUGCCUGCGUCACAGCCUGCUGAGGAGGAUCAGGAAGGGGAGCAUGCUGGCAGAUAUUACCGUAUAUACAGUAUGUACUGUAUACAUUUAAUAAGUGCAGCAUGCCUGAAAACAUGGAUAUGAUUCCCUGAUUUUCUGGAAGUGAUGAGCCCAGGGAUUUUUGCUGGCCUUGGCAGAGCAGUUCCACCGGUCAGUCUGAAGGAGCUGAGGCUGAUGGUUGCGAUGGCUAUCCAAUGCUGCACCAUUGACGUUAUUCGGUUUAAAAAAAUAUAAAAUUUAAAUGGCCAAACUAGAUGGGCCAAAGAGUUCUCAUAUUCUGUGUGAUAAAAUGAUAUGAAGUAA